rnacentral:lncRNA from 1 species
GCCAUCACUGUUCUAGGUGCUUUACAAAUAGUAUCUCAAAGGGAAAAAAGUGUGAAAAAUGCCCUAGAGAGUAGAAGGUAAUUCAAAGGGAGACUCACAGAUGCAGAAUAGUUUUGAAGCUAAAAUAUUGAAUUUAUUAUUUUCUUUAAAACAAAAAAAUACCAACAGAGAUUCAUGGUUCAUUUAUAAUCUUCUUCUCAUCUUUAUAUGUGAGAAUAUUUGUUUAUUGACAUUUGUCAAGUUCAUAAUAAGAUUUAUAAACAAUAAUGACCACAGUACAAUAUUAUAGUCAGUGGUUAAAGACAGAGUAUGGAGCUUAGCUUUUGGACUCAAGAGAGGCAGAGUUGACAUUCUGUUGUGAAAGGAAAAACAUUAUAUUCUUGGUUAGAUGGAAAGACAUUUAACAGAGGUGCUUAUAAAUACAGCCAGCCUCUUUUUCUUUUCUCCCCAAGAAAGAAGGUUGAAAUCUCUCCAUUCUUAUACUGUUGAUGAUAUGAAACCCCUAAAUUCUAUAACGGAUAACAUGGAGGAGAAAAUGUCAGCUGGAAAAAUACUUAAGUUAGGUGUUACCAGAUGUCUGCCCCUUUCUAUUAAAGAAGGCUCCUCUAUGUUCAUUAAUGGGGCCCUUGUGUGUAGAUUUCCUCCAGAAAAAGAAAUCUUGAAGAAAACCUACCUCAACCAUUUAAUUUUACAUACAAAGAGAUCUUACUGUUCAGAGAAGGUCUUUAUCUGCUUCUUCUCCCUUUUCCAGUCUCCAUCAAUUGCCAUGCCUGCCGUCAGGAUGGGGAUGGGAGUGAGGAAUACAGCUCAUAUACCCUGAAUGUAUAAAACCAUCCAUCCUACACUCCAAGCCCUUCAUGUAGGAAAAGUAUCCAGCUGUAUCUUUAUGCUUAGAUAAAAGCCAUUCCCUGGCCAUUUUGCUAUCUAGAAUUCUUGUCCAUCUUGGAUAUUAGAACAUGGGUCCCUAUGCCUGCCUAUUCUGACUUAGAAUUCUUUUGUGUCUUACAGUUUGGCUUGAUAUACUUCAUUCAGAUCAUAACUUCUUGCCUAGGUUUCAUAGUAGUCUUCCAAUUCCUUUUUAUUCAAAGGGGUUGUCUGGCUAUGACUGAUAGCUAUUCAGUUUGAUGUUCUUUCCUAGUUUAUUUGCUCCUUGGAUAUUCUAGAUUUACCUCUCAGGAUCAGGCUCAAACUGAAGGGAAAAGCAAGGAAUGAGAGAGUUUUUGCCCAUUUGUAAAGAAUGUAAACUAUUUGAGGGUAGGUUCUGUUCUCACUUUCCUUUUUUUCAUCAGCAUUUAAUCUAGUUCCUGGCACCCAGUAAGUAUUUAAUUAAUAUUUGUAGCCUUGAAUUGUAAAUGGUGAGAGAGAUUUGCUUUUCUAAAAGAAGAAUAAAGAACCAUCUCCUUCUACCA